rnacentral:rRNA from 1 species
UACGGGGGGAGCAAGCGUUGUUCGGAUUGACUGGGCGUAAAGGGCGCGUAGGCGGUUUGUUCAGUCAGACGUGAAAUUCCUGGGCUCAACCUGGGGACUGCGUUUGAUACGUGCAGACUUGAGUUCGGAAGAGGGUCGUGGAAUUCCCAGUGUAGAGGUGAAAUUCGUAGAUAUCGUCAGGAAUGCCGGUGGUGAAGACGGGUGACUGGGCUGGUUCUGACACUGAGGCACGAAAGCGUGGGGAGCGAACGGG